rnacentral:tRNA from 1 species
GCGGGCGUCGUAUAAUGGUUAUUACCGUAGCUUCCCAAGCUACUGACGUGAGUUCGAUUCUCAUCGCCCGCUCCA